CCUACGGGAGGCAGCAGUGAGGAAUAUUGGUCAAUGGACGAGAGUCUGAACCAGCCAAGUAGCGUGAAGGAUGACUGCCCUAUGGGUUGUAAACUUCUUUUAUAUGGGAAUAAAAUGUUCCACGUGUGGGAUUUUGUAUGUACCAUAUGAAUAAGGAUCGGCUAACUCCGUCCCAGCAGCCGCGGUAAUACGGAGGAUCCGAGCGUUAUCCGGAUUUAUUGGGUUUAAAGGGAGCGUAGGUGGGUUGUUAAGUCAGUUGGGAAAGUUUGCGGCUCAACCGAAAAAUUGCAGUUGAAACUGGCAGUCUUGAGUACAGUAGAGGUGGGCGGAAUUCGUGGUGUAGCGGUGAAAUGCUUAGAUAUCACGAAGAACACUGAUUGCGAAGGCAGCUCACUGGACUGCAACUGACACUGAGGCUCGAAAGUGUGGGUAUCAAACAGGAUUAGAUACCCUAGUAGUC
rnacentral:rRNA from 1 species